rnacentral:sRNA from 1 species
GUAAAAGUUCCUUCUCAGUUAGUUCUCGAUAUACCUCGUUAAACCUGCGUAAACUUUCUCUCGAUAGACCAUUCAUGCACUUGUAAUAGCCAGAAAUGUUUAAUGUAAAUUUUUAAUAGAGGUCACUAUGUCUGGUAAAAUGACUGGUACAGUAAAAUGGUUCAACGAGACUAAAGGUUUUGGUUUUAUUUCUCAAGACAACGGCGGCAAAGAUGUAUUCGUACACUUCCGUGCUAUCGUUUCUGAAGGCUUCAAAACUCUUGCUGAAGGUCAGAAAGUAAGCUUCAACGUUGAAGAAGGUCAAAAAGGCCCACAAGCUUCUAACGUUACAGUUAUCUAAGCUUAUU